rnacentral:rRNA from 1 species
AAUACCUAAAGGCGAAAUGAAAGUGAAGAGUAGUAAAUUGUUGCAGAAAAAUUUAUUUUUGUAUACAAUUACUCUUUAGGGAAGAUGAAAAGUUUAUCAAAUAUUUUUAUAAAUAUUUAUAUUUGUAAAUUUUUUUUUUGAUAUAACUUUUCCGCAUUCCCGGGGCGCGCUAAUGUCUCGCUUUGCGAGUCAGUGCGCACCUAGAGCGUACACGCUGAUACCCGAAAGAUGGUGAACUAUGCCUGGCCAGGACGAAGCCAGGGGAAACCCUGGUGGAGGUCCGCAGCGAUUCUGACGUGCAAAUCGAUCGUCGGAGCUGGGUAUAGGGGCGAAAGACCAAUCGAACCAUCUAGUAGCUGGUUCCUUCUGAAGUUUCCCUCAGGAUAGCUUGCGCUCAAAUGUUACGAAUCUCAUCCGGUAGAGCGAAUGAUUAGAGGCAUUGGGGUCGAAACGACCUCAACCUAUUCUCAAACUCCAAAUAGAUGAGAACCUCGGCUUUCUUGAAAAAUGAAGCCGUUGGAUUCGGAUCAGAGUGCCAAGUGGGCCAAUUU